rnacentral:lncRNA from 1 species
CAAAGCAAUGGCAAUGGUUUAAAAAUAGAGAGUGGGAUUAGGAUUUGAACCCAGAUCUAAUUUCUACGUUUACAGAGCAUUCCAUGCCAUCAACUUUAAACAGAAGCACCUGUCUUCUGCCUAUUCUGCUCAUACAGGCUAAGAAAGAGGAAACAUUGCAGUCAUGCUAGAACACCACCGGAAGGCGAAAACGCACGCGAUUCAUACAGCGCACAGAUACUACCCGUAAAUACAGACGGGGAUCACAGACGGGCUACAGAAGCAGCCAGCACAUUGUCUUCACGACUGCCUCGAGCCAGUGUUGUAUAAUUAACAUGGUAUGCCCCAAGGGCCAGAAGCAGACUCGGUGACCUAUGCUACCCAGAGAGUCAGCAUCAGCUCCAAUAUCAGCCUCUCACGUUCUGAUUUUUUCCUCUAAUGAGUCCCAAGAAGGGUACUCUUCUAGCUUGCAAAGUGCCUUUC